GCAUACGGCUACCGGCUGCAGUCUUCACUCUACACAACAGUCAAGGAAACAUCAAACCAGAAGAUUGUUGAGGUCCUGGGGGCUUAUGAGGACAGCGCAAGGCCAAUGACUUACGUCCUACUGAUCAUGGGUGGGGAUACAUUCAGUAUUCCAGCACAGCUAUGGAUCCCUCUGGAGCCCAGAGUGGAGGAGCCACCGUUCUGGCUGAAAAUACGUUACACGGGGGGAAAAAUCACAGAGGUGGAGGAGGUGAAAGAAAGAGAAAAGGAGGCUAUGGGGGAGGAAUAAAAGAUCACAAUAAUU